rnacentral:rRNA from 1 species
UACGUAGGUGGCAAGCGUUGUCCGGAUUUAUUGGGUUUAAAGGGUGCGUAGGCGGCCCCGUAAGUCAGUGCUGAAAUAUCCCGGCUUAACCGGGAGGGUGGCAUUGAUACUGCGAGGCUUGAGUAGAAUUGAGGUUGGCGGAAUUGACGGUGUAGCGGUGAAAUGCUUAGAUAUCGUCAAGAACACCGAUAGUGUAGACAGCUAACUAAGCUCAAACUGACGCUGAGGCACGAAAGUGUGGGGAUCAAACAGG